AGUGACCUAUUUUGUGCGCCUUUUCCUCAGUUCCGUGGCGUGAGGUUUCUGCGGUCCGGUUGCGGGUUUAAAGAAGUCCUGGUCAGGUACUUGUUUGCCCGUGUGCAGGGAAAUAGGAAACUGAAAUUGCUUAAAAACAAAUUGAAAAACUAGUACAAAGUCUUCCCUCGAAGAAGACUCCAGGCUACCCUGGAUUCCUUGGAGAGUUAAGCCAAGCAUUUUACCAGAUUACUGGACAUGGAAGAUCUCAACCUACAGGCAGGGGCUGCUGGGAUUCAAACAGUUCAUCUGCGUGGUUUGUUUGGGAUUUUAAAAACUUAUGCAGAAACUAUCAGCUACAAGGAAUUACUACCUAAAUCAUUGCUAUAAUGAGUUUUAGAUGUGCUGGCUUAACAUGAGAAAGUGUAUACAUCAGAGGUCAAUCAGGAAAACAGAAAUCACUCUGGGCAUUUCAGGCAGAGGGUUAAUAUUAGGUAUCAGGUGUUUACAACAUUGAAGAAGAGAAAGUCAGGGGAAGUUACCACCGGCUUCCAGGUUUGAGUUGUUGCUGUGGUCCUGAAAGCAGUGAGUUGUGGCUGUCACACAAGAACUACAGGAACUAGCCACCAAGCAUUAUUGCUGCCUUGUUGCAUAGAGAGGGGUGACUAACAGUGAAAUACCUGUGGUCAUUAUAUUUCCCGUCUGCUUCAUCGCACAUACCUAUCCACUGCUGCAAGAGGAAGAAAGAAAUGACUUUUGCCUCUCUUGUGCCUAACUAACAUUGAGUGUAUUUGUGGCUGACUGUAAAUUUCAUCCAAGAUCCUGGAGGAAAUGUGAUCAGAGAACUACAAUUCGAAGACUCUCCAGCGUCUGUGAUACAGACAAUAAAAGGGAGUGGAAAUGCGUUUUGGAUAAAGAAAAAGAAACAGUCUACUUCUUUGGCUACUCAGCACCCAUACAGAUCUUUCUAUUUAUAUUCAAGUUUACAAAUAACAGCAGCAAAAAUAGCCUGCUCCUUCCUAAUGUAAUGCAACAUUCUCUUAUACAAAGGAAAGCAUAUCCACCAUUUCCUCUGGAAGGGGACAGCCAAAGUCUCAUCAAUCAUUAUGAAUGAUAUUUCUAGUUCAGUCAUAAUCCCCUUUUGAUAUUCUAUACACAGUGGAUUAAUUUAUAAUGUUAACUACCAUCAACACAACUUAUAUGAAGGAAUAAAAAGGGGAACAGGAAGAAAGGUUGAUAAAGUACAUAUAUAACAGAACAUGGAAAAGUGUACAUAGGAACUUCAUGCUUGUGUCUGCAACUCAUCAUUGCACUAUAACUUACAUUUAUAAUCUCCUUAAUAAACUACCUAUAUCCUGUCCUCUUUUUUCCUCCGCCAGUACCUUAGCGUCAUGAUUUUCUACCAGUAAUGGGAUGACCCAAACCUCCGCUUCCGAAGGGUCUGAGCCCUUACUGGCCCUGUCUAUCUAGGGUUACUAUACUUUUCCAUUACAUUUUAGUCAUUGGACAUGGAAGUACUGUGAACAGUGUGAAGCAGUAAACCUACCUUCUGUUUAUAAUUAGCAUCAGUUGCCUCACCUGAUAAAGUAGUCCCCUUCUUUGCUUGUUGAUUUAAUGGCAUGAAGAGUCCCAAAUGUCCAGGAGGCAGCCUUAGCUUCCAGUUCAAUAGGAUCAUUGUUGUAUUUCCUGAAUGAAACAUUACUUUCCUUGGACCUAAGUUCUCUAAAUCAACAGAGUCAAAAACUAGAAUGAGGGUAAUCUCGCACUGUUAAGUCCAUAUUGUACUCCUUGGACAUUUUCAACAUGACAUCACUGAGCAAAUACUGGGGUGGUUGGGGACGGAUUCUCGCUGACAUACACAGAGUGAGCAGUCUUGUCCACUUGAUUAUUGGGAGCCUCACAUGCAGUCAGUGCUCUUUGGUGAAUGUUCACAUGGAAAGCUAAUUUUCUCAUUUUGUGACAUUCUAAGAGGUCUGAGUAACUUCUCUUCUAUUCACUGAUUCUCCAGUCUUGUUUUGCAACAACCCAUUAUCCAUAAACCAUUAGCCACUAUCCCAGAGUCAGUGAGGUUUGUAGCUCUGGACAUCUCUCUUUCCAAAUGAAUUAUUUCAAAUUCUGCCCAUUUAGAGAAUUUCUCUUUCCUGCUGUCCUUCAAGGCACUUCGUGAGUGUGACUAUAGUUUCAUAUAUUAGUUCCAUUUGGUUUUUAUCAAAUAUCAUGAAGAACCAAUUGUGCAUCAAUUCUUUCUUUGAUGAGACAAUACAUGUGGACUGAAAAGGAGGAGUCAAUGUAGAACAAAUAAGUGUCACAGGAGUCUUAAGCAUUUGUUUAUGAAAUUACUAGAACCUUCAGAAACUGGUUGAACCCAUCUACUGGAUAAUAGAAUGGAUACCACUUCUACUUGAAGUGACUCAUUAUUAAUGUAUUCAGUUUUGUGGCCUAUGAUCAGUCCAAGAGUUAUUUCUGAAAAAGAGCAUUUUGUUGCAGGAAAUGGCAUGGCUUCGCUUCAAAACCUAUGUGUUUAUUCUGUGAUUCUCCUAUUAGUGCUUACCAGACAGGCCAACAUUGGAUUUACACAUAUGUGCCACAGACAGGCCAGCAGUGGAUUUACUAGGUCAUGAAUCCCAAGGGUUAGACAAGAUUAUAUUUCCUCUUUCAUUGGCCCCACUAAAAACUGGCAACUUUAUAGGUAAAUGAGCUGGAGUAGUACACAUAAAUGUGACAUAUACAGUCUCCAAAAUCCAAACAGGCCCACCAAGCAUUGUGCCUCUUUUUGAAUGGUAAUGGGUUUAAGGCUCACAAAACUGUCUUUUACUUUGAAGUGAAUAGCUCAACAUGACUAAUACCACUGGAGCUUUAAGAACUUUACUGAGGUAGUGGAUUCCUGAAUCUUAAUGAGGUUUAUCUUCUACUCUGUUUCAUGUCUUACCAAGGACAAACUCUUGCAUUCUGCUCACCAGGUCCUUCAAGCAUCAUGUCCUUCAGGAGGGCAAGACAAUCCAAGACCCUAGCAGAUUAUAGCAUGACAGAAAGUUGAAAAGUUGACACAGCCCUGUGGUGGGAUAGGCAAAGGGAGACCACAAGCAAGGAAGAGUGGCAAGCAGAGGGAGAAGCAGGAUCCCUGCUGAGCAAGAAGCCUGAUGUGAGACUCAAUCCCAGAAUUCUAGGAUCUUGACUGAGCUGAAAGAAGACCCUUAACUGACUGAGCCACCAAGGUGUCCCUCUUGUUCACUUUUGAAGGAUAAUUUCACUGCAUAGGAUUCUAAGUGCUGCCACUGGCCCUACCACUCUGGGACUCUAUCAUUACCACUGAAAACAAGGAGCGCAUUUCAACAGCGGUAUCUUCUACCAUCAUCUCAUAUAUACAGACACAGAAAAUACAGGCUUUUUAAGAAUACUACUGCUCCUCUUAGCAAUGGAUUUCUCAAGGUUAAGAUGAAGUGAUUGUCCUCGGGGACUUCCUGAGGGAUAUAAUGAAAGUGUUGAAGAGUAUAUUGCACAUGAUGAAACCAUCCCAACAUUCCUAUCUCAUCAAGCCUUCCUUUCUUCUCUGUUAUGCCAAGAAAGUUUUAGUAUAUUAAUCUAAUCUAAUGAAGGCCAUUGUUGAGUCUGGUUUCAGUCAACCAGCUCAGCAAACUCUUAAAGCCACUUCUGACUGAUACACUGAAUCCAGAAUCUCUGAUGCUACUAACAUAUCAGUAAUUUCAAUAUUAUUUCCCUUGGUCUAGAACACACUCCCACUCAGUACUGACCCAAUCCUCCAGUACUGACAUACAUUAACAAUAUCUUGCCAUUGUUUCCCUGUGUAGGCUUCUCCUCUAGUGUCAGGCAUCUUACUCAUCUUCCCAGGGCAUGCUGAGAUCUGAGUCUUGUGGAUCUAGAGGUAAAGAAGUAUUAACAUACCUUUGCAAGAUUAAUGCUUUAGUGAAGCCAUCAUAGGAUCACCAAGCAAGGGAUGGUCAGCAUUUCAAAGAGGGGAUGAGGAGCAGCUUCAGCUGUCAGAGGGACUCAGUGAAAGUUGAAGAUUCACGAUAAUCAAAUUCAACCCAAACUGCUCAAAUGUCCCUGUUCCAAGUUAAGACUUAGUUUUUAAUUAAUCCCAAACUUUAACAUGUGAGACCUGAUAAAGCUGUGAAUUCAACUUGUAUGAUAAUUGGGCAAUCCAUGGAUCCUGGAUCAAACAUUGGGUGUGAUUU